rnacentral:rRNA from 1 species
AUUGAACGCUGGCGGCAGGCCUAACACAUGCAAGUCGAGCGAGCGGCGGACGGGUGAGUAAUCCCGGGAAAUUGCCCAGUAGAGGGGGAUAACAGUUAGAAACGACUGCUAAUACCGCAUAAGAGGGGAUUGCCCAGGUGGGUUUAGCUAGUUGGUGGUGAAGCGGCUCACCAAGGCGACGAUCCCUAGCUGGUCUGAGAGGAUGAUCAGCCACACUGGAACUGAGACACGGUCCAGACUCCUACGGGAGGCAGCAGUGGGGAAUAUUGCACAAUGGGCGAAAGCCUGAUGCAGCCAUGCCGCGUGUGUGAAGAAGGCCUUCGGGUUGUAAAGCACUUUCAGCGAGGAGGCGUUACUCGCAGAAGAAGCACCGGCUAACUCCGUGCCAGCCGCCGCGGUAAUUC